UACGUAGGGUGCGAGCGUUAAUCGGAAUUACUGGGCGUAAAGCGUGCGCAGGCGGUGGGUCAAGUCUGAUGUGAAAGCCCCGGGCUCAACCUGGGAACGGCAUUGGAAACUGGCCUGCUAGAGUGUGGCAGAGGGGGGUGGAAUUCCGCGUGUAGCAGUGAAAUGCGUAGAGAUGCGGAGGAACACCGAUGGCGAAGGCAGCCCCCUGGGCCAACACUGACGCUCAGGCACGAAAGCGUGGGGAGCAAAC
rnacentral:rRNA from 1 species